AUUGAACGCUGGCGGCAUGCUUUACACAUGCAAGUCGAACGGUAACAGGCCGCAAGGUGCUGACGAGUGGCGAACGGGUGAGUAAUGCAUCGGAACGUGCCCAGUCGUGGGGGAUAACGCAGCGAAAGCUGCGCUAAUACCGCAUACGAUCUAUGGAUGAAAGCGGGGGACCGAAAGGCCUCGCGCGAUUGGAGCGGCCGAUGUCAGAUUAGGUAGGUGGUGGGGUAAAGGCCCACCAAGCCAACGAUCUGUAGCUGGUCUGAGAGGACGACCAGCCACACUGGGACUGAGACACGGCCCAGACUCCUACGGGAGGCAGCAGUGGGGAAUUUUGGACAAUGGGCGCAAGCCUGAUCCAGCAAUGCCGCGUGCAGGAAGAAGGCCUUCGGGUUGUAAACUGCUUUUGUACGGAACGAAACGGUCCGGGUUAAUACCCUGGGCUAAUGACGGUACCGUAAGAAUAAACACCGGCUAACUACGUGCCAGCAGCCGCCGUAAUAC
rnacentral:rRNA from 1 species